GGCCAGUUAGCUCAGUCAGUUGAGCAUGGUGCUGAUAACACCAAGGUCGCAGGUUAGAUCCCGCUCGGUCCC
rfam:Apaloderma vittatum contig57849, whole genome shotgun sequence.